GAUGCAACAAAGAGCCCCAAUCCAGCUUAUAUCAUGCAAAUUGCAAAAACAACAAAUCUCUGGUCUUUAACAGAUUGAGAAUAGACAGAUAGUCUCCCACCAUGUGAGACUUUUAAUGUAAUGAAAAAUAGUGUCCAAUAUAUGAUCACCAUACACGUCUACUUACCAAAUAAUGGCUCUAUUACUAUUAAGCCCCACUUUCUCAAUAUACCUCCAAAUUUCUAAUCAUGCACCACCCACUAGACUCGUCAAAGAUUUGAAAGUGAUCUGCCUUCUGACACUUUUCAAUGGUCCGUCCUUGUAAUUUUCUAUCAUUCACCUCACGGGUUUCAGGGUCGGGCUUUCCGAGCCCGAGUUCAGGCUGACUUCUAGGGUGAGGCUCUUUUUAUCACCCCUAGUUCAACCUAAUCCUCGCCUGAUUUUCCGUCUCCUCAACCACUAGAUAGAUCAAUAACAAAUUGCACGUCAAUUCAAUAGAUUACCACAUAAGCAAAUCUAUGAUAGACAGUGAAAACUAAUGCAUGUCAAAUUUAUAUAUAGUUGAAACCAUGAUUAAUGUGGUGGUCCUAAGCUAUCUAAUAAUUUCUACUCAAACUUGUAGACAUACAUAAAGGGGGGUAGAGAGAAGGAAGGAGGCAAAUAGAAUUGAAUAACGGACACCUCUUUAUAAGGUAUUCUAUCCGAUUCUUUUAAUUUCAACUCAUAGCCACCCACCCAUCUAUCAGAAUGAAACAUUCUGGCAUAAUUCUAUACUUCAUCAUUAUUAUUACAACUUUCUGUUUAUUCGCCAAAUACACAAGCCUAUCCUCAUCGCCUCUAUUUUCUGUAGCGUCUCCUACAAACGAUCUACAAGGACUAGCAUCAAGGAGAGCUUUGAGCAGACAUCUGACUCAACAUGAGUCAAGAGCAGUCAAGGUUUUGGAUGCAACGAAGCACUCACCUCACCAAGAAGCAUACAGAAGAGAAGAGCCCCUGAAGAAUGGCCACGCCAAUGAUGAUGGUGAAGAAGAAUUAGUCUAUCAUAUAGAUUAUCAUGGCGUGACGACCCAUCCUGGUCCAAAUCCUAAACAUGGAAAACCAUAGAACAGUCAUCAGGUUGUCAUCAACUAUAUUGAAUACAUGUAACAUGAUAUAGAUAAUCAAUGCUGUUAUUAAGAUUUUCUUUUUACAUUGAACAAUAUUAGCCUAUUCUUUAUGUAAAAAAUUACAGAUCAUUGC